ACCUCUUCCUGGGCAACUGAUUCAUCAUAUAGAGUGCAGUCUCCGCUUCUCUGCUUGUAAAACUUAUAAGGUUGUCUGCCAACGCUAACUGGCCAGCUCUGACAGGAGGUGCGUGGCCCAGGAGGAGCCAUCAGGCCAGUUCUCUGGGAUACUGCUGUGUCUCCAGCUCUGCAGUUUGCUCUUCGUCACUCAGCGGCAGACGGAGAGGCAGACACGAGCCCCUUGUGAGCCCUCCUCCUUACCGUCAUCUCACAAUGCUCUGAAAUAAGGAGGCAAAUGGCUGAGGUCCCCUCAGUUGUAGAUGUGAUUGAGUUCUAUCUACCAGAAGCAUAUGCCUCCUGGAAGCCUGGUUCUAACACCUCCCACAAAAUCCUUCAAGCACUUUUUUCUGUUCCAAGGUUUGCUUAUGGGGGACCCAGUGAAGUGCUUCAGAGCCCUAGAGAUUUGCUGAGUCAUAUGAGGGGUCAGCAAACUUUUCCUGUAAAGGGUCAGAUAAUAAACAUUUUAAGCUUUGUAGACUGUA
rnacentral:lncRNA from 1 species